GAGUUUGAUCCUGGCUCAGGAUGAACGCUAGCGGCAGGCUUAACACAUGCAAGUCGAGGGGCAUCGGGAGGGAAGCUUGCUUUCCUUGCCGGCGACCGGCGCAUGGGUGAGUAACACGUAUGCAACCUGCCCUCUUCAGGGGGACAACCUUCCGAAAGGGAGGCUAAUCCCGCGUAUAUCGGUUUCGGGCAUCCGAGAUCGAGGAAAGAUUCAUCGGAAGAGGAUGGGCAUGCGGCGCAUUAGCUUGACGGCGGGGUAACGGCCCACCGUGGCGACGAUGCGUAGGGGUUCUGAGAGGAAGGUCCCCCACACUGGUACUGAGACACGGACCAGACUCCUACGGGAGGCAGCAGUGAGGAAUAUUGGUCAAUGGGAGAGAUCCUGAACCAGCCAAGCCGCGUGAGGGAAGACGGCCCUAUGGGUUGUAAACCUCUUGGACGGAGAACAAAA
rnacentral:rRNA from 1 species